rnacentral:tRNA from 1 species
GGUCGGCUGGAUCAGGUGCUGGAGACCGACCCGGUCGACGCCGGGGUGGUUCUGGUCCGGCAGCCGGAGGUGCUCCAGUUCGCCGCCGAGGACGGCUGCC